GCAAGUAAUUAUUCUUAAUGGAGUGCCCAUUAGUGUCUGCUCUUGGAAGCUAAGCAGGUCUGUGCCUGGUUAGUACUUGGAUGGGAGACCAACUUGAAAGACCAGGGGCUGCUAUCC
rnacentral:rRNA from 12 species